rnacentral:rRNA from 1 species
GACGAACGCUGGCGGCGUGCCUAAUACAUGCAAGUAGAACGCUGAAGAGAGGAGCUUGCUCUUCUUGGAUGAGUUGCGAACGGGUGAGUAACGCGUAGGUAACCUGCCUUGUAGCGGGGGAUAACUAUUGGAAACGAUAGCUAAUACCGCAUAACAAUGGAUGACACAUGUCAUUUAUUUGAAAGGGGCAAUUGCUCCACUACAAGAUGGACCUGCGUUGUAUUAGCUAGUAGGUGAGGUAAUGGCUCACCUAGGCGACGAUACAUAGCCGACCUGAGAGGGUGAUCGGCCACACUGGGACUGAGACACGGCCCAGACUCCUACGGGAGGCAGCAGUAGGGAAUCUUCGGCAAUGGGGGCAACCCUGACCGAGCAACGCCGCGUGAGUGAAGAAGGUGUUCGGAUCGUAAAGCUCUGUUGUAAGUCAAGAACGGGUGUGAGAGUGGAAAGUUCACACUGUGACGGUAGCUUACCAGAAAGGGACGGCUAACUACGUGC